UACGGGGGGAGCAAGCGUUGUUCGGAUUUACUGGGCGUAAAGGGCGCGUAGGCGGCGUAACAAGUCACUUGUGAAAUCUCCGGGCUUAACUCGGAGCGGCCAAGUGAUACUGUUGUGCUAGAGUGCGGAAGGGGCUACUGGAAUUCUCGGUGUAGCGGUGAAAUGCGUAGAUAUCGAGAGGAACACCUGCGGCGAAGGCGGGUAGCUGGGCCGACGCUGACGCUGAGGCGCGAAAGCCAGGGGAGCGAACGGG
rnacentral:rRNA from 1 species